rnacentral:lncRNA from 1 species
CAUGGAAAGCCCCCUGGAGAGCAAGAAGAAGGCUGGAACCUGGGCCAAGGCAGCCCAGGACUGAGAGCCAAGUAAGCAUGGGAAUUGUCCCAGCUAUAGUUUCUGGGAAAAUAAAUAGGCCUACCUGUUGACUUUUGACCUGCAGACUCCGUUCUUGCAAAAGGCAAACCAGACCAUACACUUUGGGGAUUCCCGCAAGAAGAUUCCUAAAACUGAAACUGGGGACUCUAGGAGGACACACAUCAUUAAGGAACUGGGCUUUCCUCUGAAGAGACUACCAAUUUGCAUUCCACCUACAAUGGAUGAGAAUCUCCAUCCUCCAAAGAUGAAAAAGAGGAUAUUAUCAUUCUUUUUAAUCUUUGCCAUCUGGAAGUUGCAUUCUGCUGAGCCCAGGAGUUAGAGAACAGACCACAGAGAUUUAAGUUCUCACUUGCGGGAAGUAGAUUUCAGUCCGCAUCCCAGCUCUGAAGCCCCAUUUCUCCUGGUGUAAAAUGAGAAGUGUCAGACAUCAUGCUCCAGAGACAGGAAAACCAACUAGUACAUGGAACUAAUUGAUGGAACUUUGAGCCACCAACCUGGACCAAUCCAACCUGGAUUUCUGGGGAGAAAAUCUGUGCAAUAUGUCUCAUCAGCCACACUUCCUCCCUGGAGCCAGAAAAUGCCCUGCUGAUGAUGCUCUGGAGAGCGAGGCCAAGAAUGAAUCAUCAGAGGUGUCUGCAGAUGCCUACUCACUACACUGCUGAGGGCAGGGACCCUGUGCUGGGCUGGCAAAGGUGUUUGUGUGACAUCCAGGAAGACCCAAUGCUGCGAUCCUAAAGGGGGAAAAACAGUAUUAGAAGCCAACAAGCCUGGAUUUCUAGAAGGAAGAAGCUGUUCCAAGCACAGUGCAAUUCCAGAGCUUCCCAGUGAAGAGGGCAACAGAGCAGAGUCUGGCUUCCUCUUGCUCUUGCAGAGGAAUGUUCCCAGAGCAUGCAGCCUUGUGAUCUGUUCUGGAGUCGGCCAUGUGCACGUCUGAGAGGAACAAAUUGUCUAUGGUCUUAUUAAAGAAUCUUCCCACAAAUUGAAACAUCAUGCACCUCUUGGUGUGGGCCACUGAGAAGACAUCCUUUAUGUAGCAUUUGUCCCCAAUCUGCUUGAUCUAAGCCUGAUCACGGGGAAGAAAUCAGAAUGUGAGAGGCAUCCUACAAACUGCAUUCUUCAGAAACAACACGUGAAAGACAACCAAGACUGAAAAGUGAUUCAAUUUAAAGGAGAUGCACUUGACUUGGCAACUGAAAGCAGCCUGUGACUCUGGACUGAGCACAGGAGCUAGGAGACAUGAUUUCUCUCCUGUGAGAUUGUUGGGCCAAUUGGUGCCAUCUAAACGUGGAUUGUACAUUAGGUCACAGUAUUGUAUCAAUGCUGAAUUUCCUCAAUAUGAUCAUUGCAAUGUGGUCAUAUGAGAGAAUGUUCUUUUCUUAGAGGUAAAGGAUUAAAAUUCUGGCAACUUAACCGGCAAAUGGUCUAACAAAAAUAAGGAUGGUAUUUACAGAUUGAAAGGAAAAAUAGAGAUAAUGCAAAUGUGGAAAAGUAUUAACAAUCUGUGAAUCUGAAGAAUCUGUGGAGCUCAUACAAUUAUACUCACACAUUUUCUAUAAGGUUAAAAUGUUUUUGAAAUAAUCUCUAAAAGGUCUGCUCUAGUGUUAAAUGAGGGGCAUAAAUAUGCAGGGAGGCACAGCCCAAUAAGAAUAGCAGUUAGCAUGUGUGGUGCUUUGCAAUGCAUAUUUAUUAAGUUGUUUAAUUAUCACAGCCCCCUUUACCCGUAGGCAUUAUCACCCCCUAUUUUACAGAGGUGGAAACUCCAGCUCAGAAAAGUGAAGUAUCUUGACUCACCAUGAUUUCACAGCAAGUAAGAGAGAAGUUUGGCUCCGAGAGUCCCUCUUUACUGCCUCAGUGUGAGGCCCAAAGCCGAGGUGCUGGAGUCAGAUUGCCUGGGCUCACACCUGCCUCUGUCCCAGGACUGACCACAUAACCUUGAGAGUUCAGGCUGCCUACAGUAGUGUUAGAAAAUGAAGGUCCUAUGAUUGGACUGUGGUUUGUCAGCUGGGACACUCAUGUUGGAGUGUGGUUACCACGGCAGCUGAGCUAAGAGGCGGAGCCUCAAGGGAGGUGUUUAGGUCAUGGGGGAAGCGCCAUCACAAAGAGAUUAAUGCUUUUUCUCUGACUGACCUUUCACGGGCACAGGACUGGAUUAUUUUGAGAGUAGGCUAUUCUCUUUUCCAGCCACACAUGGCCCUCACCAGAUGUGGUCAUCCAAUUUUGUACUUUACAGCCUUCAUAACCAUGGACCCAAUAAACCUUUUUUUCUUUAUAAAUUACCCAUUCUCAGGUAUUCUAUUACAGUAACAGAAAGUGGACAAGACCAAGUUAUAACUGCACUCACCUUAUAGGGUUUUGCUGGGGUUAAAUCUGAUACAGCAUGUUCAGGGGUCAAAAGAGCAUUUGGUGCAGUAUCUUCUGGAAAUGGGUCUACACAGAUGUUUGUUCUUAAAUCCCACUAGCCAUGUGGGUGAGAGUAGGUAAACAGAAAUAAAGAGUACAGAAAUACAGUCAAGUUUGAGACAGGGAAGUCAUGUGCAACAUCUACAUAUAGUGGGACAGUCAUUUCCCAGGAAGACUAGAAACCACUGCCAUACAUGCUGGAGUGUUUCUAGCCUUUUGCAGUUUCUAGAUCCUUGCCUAAAAUGUGCAGAAAAUUCCAUAGC